GGACAGGCAACAGGCUCUUACUCCAUCCUCUGCAAACGGAACAUGUAAAUUAUGUAAAUUGUUGUGUGCCAAUGCUUUGCCUAGGUAAAUCACACACCUCUACUUUGGUGAAGGUCUAUUCUUGACUGUGUUUGUGAUGGAAAUGUUUUUCAGUUCAGUUCCAUGCAUUUUUUUUUCUGAAUUACAGUACUUACACCUGAAUUACACCUUUGUUUAAACUGAGCUAACUUUAAUUUGACUCUGUACUGCAAAAGCAGUGACCCACUGAAGGUGGUGACUGGGAACUGACACCUUUUUCAUCACACGAAUUAAACUAACAGGUUUCUUCUGUCUUUUUGUUUGUAGGUGCUUCUUGGGCAUCAACCCAGAGCGAAGCACAAAAUCUAAGAGGCAGAGAGGUCACAUGAACCAGCAAGUCUGCACUCUUAUCAGGAAGCUCAUUGACUUCGAAUGGAUGUCAAUCUAAUUGGAUAGAACCCACACUAUGCAGGUGCCAGCUGCGAGGGAAGGAGCGAGAUACCUGCGACCCUCUCUAUUCCCACCUUUUUGUCUUUUCUUACAUCUCUCUCCCUCACUCUCUCUUCUCUGUCUCCUUCUUUCUCUUUUGACACACAUUCCUGUUACCCAGUGUCAAUCCCUGUUGCCCAGUGUUUUAUUCAUGUAAUUAAAUUGUAUUUUACUUCUAAAAAAUAAAAGUUAUGUCACUGUUUUUA